rnacentral:rRNA from 1 species
CCUACGGGUGGCAGCAGUGAGGAAUAUUGGUCAAUGGUCGGGAGACUGAACCAGCCAAGCCGCGUGAGGGAUGAAGGUACAGAGUAUCGUAAACCUCUUUUGUCAGGGAACAAAGGCGGGGACGUGUCCCCGGAUGAGUGUACCUGAAGAAAAAGCAUCGGCUAACUCCGUGCCAGCAGCCGCGGUAAUACGGAGGAUGCGAGCGUUAUCCGGAUUUAUUGGGUUUAAAGGGUGCGCAGGCGGCCUGUUAAGUCAGCGGUCAAAGCCCGGGGCUCAACCCCGGCCCGCCGUUGAAACUGGCAGUCUUGAGUUGGCGAGACGUAUGCGGAAUGCGCGGUGUAGCGGUGAAAUGCAUAGAUAUCGCGCAGAACUCCGAUUGCGAAGGCAGCAUGCCGGCUCCACACUGACGCUGAGGCACGAAAGCGUGGGUAUCGAACAGGAUUAGAUACCCUUGUAGUC